AUGGAGAGAUUGGCAUCAGUCGAUUCCCCUGGUGAAGUAGAGUUUAACUAUGGGAUAGCUUUGGAAACUUUAAACCGAUUGAUGGAGUGCAGCCGCUCAACUACUCCUGACUCCGAACAAUAUCUGACGGUUAAUGACAACUCGUCGUUCUACACUGACUCAGAUGACUCUGAUAGCUCUUAUGAUGGUAACCAACGGAGAAAAAAGAAGUCUGGUUGGAGCGAUGAGACUGUUAAUUCAGGCAAGAAGAUCUUCCAACUUCUCUGCCUUCUGCUCCCACCAAAAAAUCGGGCCCAACUUAAACUUUUACUUUUACUCAUGUCUCGUUUGAUGGCCUCUCCUCAUUCUCAGGUACUGUAUGAGCUAAGCCAAGGUGUAAUGCGAGAAAAUAAUUUAAACAAACAAAAUGAUCUUGCAUUUUUCGUUGUUUGUUUCCUACUGGAUCAUAAAGAUAUAUUAUUUAAACCACCUCUGGACUUCGUCAACGAAAUUCGCUCGAAAGCCAGGAAGUGCCUCAAUUCGUCCAGAAAGAACCAUGCAUACUGUGAACGGGUAAGUACAGAGGAAUUUGAACAACAAAGAUUCACUGGCUCUCAACGUGCUCUGGCUGAACUCCUGGAUCAAAUUCUCCAUGAUCAGAAGAUGAACUCAAAAGAAAAGAAGAGGAAAUUGAAAAUGUUUCAGGAAGCCUACCCGGAAAUAUACAGUCUCAAGUGCCCGCUAGAGACAGAAUCAAAGUCGAAGUCUACUAUGAUGGGAAAUUUCCUUCCUUAAGCAAGUUGAAGCAGCUUCGCAUUUAAACUUCUCUCGGCAGUAGCAAUUCUCUUCGUAAUUGUAAGGUGCUCAGAAAUCCCUCCUUCGUUAUUUCUAUCUCUUAUUAGCAGGUACUGACUAGUGUUUAUUAGUAAAAGUUUAAAAAUAGAAUGAAAUUAGAGAUAAGAUAUUUAUAAAAACUGUUUUCCCCUUCAGAUAGAUUAUGUUUAUUUCUACCCCUAAAAGACUUAUCCUCACUUCUCAUGUUUCUUUUGGAGUGUGCCAUCUUUUUUUUAUUUCUUUCUUUCAAUAAAUAGUUACUUUUGUACCUUGACUAAAUAGAGGCUAAAUUCUUUUCCUUUAACUUGCACACUUGAAAUUUGAAUUUUGUCUUGCAAAAACCGCUGUUGUCCAUUUUUCCAUCCUUGAGAUAUUUUGAGUUUAUAAUACUUCCCGAAGUAAGAUAAAACCUUGAAAGUUGUCUAAAUACUCGUUUUGGGGUUGACUCAUUCCCGAAAAGCGUGAUUGUAACUCAACUUACUACAUGAUUGUAUCUUAACUCUUGAAACGAAUUAUCAACUCAAAAAAGAAGGAAGCUAGAAAAAUAGACUUAAGCGGUUUGUGGAGGACACUUUCCAAUUGAUCCUUGAUCAGUAGAAAUUAUUGAUGGUGAAACUAAAACGGCAAUACUGUAUAGAUAAGUGUUCUCUAUUUCCUCCUAUGACUUCACUGUUCUGAGAAAUCACACUGAUGAGUUUGCAUGAGCUCUCAAACAAGAACAAAUGAGUAAGAAAUUCUGGCAAAAAAAACCGGCAGUGAGUGUACAGAUGGCGAUGCUCACACCACAAAUUAGCAAUUUUGUUGGUUGGCAGAAAAGUGCUCGUUUCAAGUUUCACCAUUAAUAGAAUAUAUUAAAUGCUCAUUAGAUGACCCGAUAGGAACAUCAUUGAUAGAAUAACAUUAAAUGUUGUUCAGAUGACCCAAUAUGAGAAUAUUGUCAUGUCCAUGGUCUCAGUGCAAAACGAUGUGUCUUCAUUUGUUACGUUGCUGACAUCCUGUCAUACUAUUAUUGACUUUGGAAAAUGAGUUUUCAUUAUUUCUUGAAAACUUCCUUGAUUUACCUCCUCUGUAAGCAGAAUAUUGUGUGUAGAUUUGGCGCUAUAAAGUUGGCUUGUUUCUCUUUGAAGAAAUAAAAUUGGAGUGGAAAUUUUGAGACACGGAAUUUCAAGAAAUUUUGCAAUGGAGAUAAAUGGUUUUGUACUUUGGCCAUUGAUGUGUGAAAGGUUAUAUUGCUUCAAAGGCGUUUCUUAUUUUGCCUCAGGAACAGCCUAAAGAAAUUAAAAGAAAAUCUCCCUGGGAAGCGUAUUUUGAUAAAUGAUCAUCCUUCAAUUGGUAUAUUCAGCUCUAUCUAAUAACUUUCCUUUGCAAGAGUCGGCACCCUUGGAUUUCACUCAAGGUAAUAAAAAUGAAAUUAUGAAACAAAGUUUUUCACAACUAUAUGAAUUUAUUGAUCUAACGCUGUACAGAAAACUUAAGAAAAAGAAAAAUCAAUGAGCUUUCAUCAUUUAACUGGGCCAAUUCCUCGUCCUAACCUCUAGAUAGUAGUACAAAACAAGAUGUGAAAAAUGUUCAACCAUUACACGAUAAUACAAAAUUCCAAAAUCACUUGGACAUGCCUGAAUUAAGUUUUGGUAAGGAUAGUUGUAGAGAGAAAUUCCUUUGUAAUUUUUAUACGGUUUUUAAAUUGAGUUCGUGUUCUCACCAGGGUUGGGCUCUAAAAAUAACAUUAAAAUUACAUCUACUGAUUUAAAUGUCUAAAAUUAGAUAAAAUUAGAUUCAAAGAAAUAAUUUCUAUGCCAGGAAAAGCCAUUUGACGGCCAUCGC
rnacentral:lncRNA from 1 species